rnacentral:rRNA from 1 species
AUCGUCGAUGCGGGCGGUCUGCCGCGCGCGACUUGGUGAGAAGUCCACUGAACCUUAUCAUUUAGAGGAAGGAGAAGUCGUAACAAGGUUUCCGUAGGUGAACCUGCGGAAGGAUCAUUGACGAGUGUUCCAAACGAUCGUGCGACUAGUGCAACCUGUGAGGCUGCGACGACCGUUUGACGUCGCAUUCUUCCAUUGCCUGGGCUCUCGCUUUCGCGGAGACCUAUGUGCAGUGGGUGACAACCAGCGUGUGGGUGCAGUCUUGCGCCAAGGGAGGAGCAAACGUCAUCUUGGCAAUUGCGCAUCCCCAGGGUCCAGUGCGGCCUGGCAAUAGGUCAUUGAAUGACUCUCGACAACGGAUAUCUUGGCUCUCGCAUCGAUGAAGAACGUAGCGAAAUGCGAUAUGUGUUGUGAAUUGUAGAAUCCCGUGAACCAUCCAUUCUUUGAACGCAAGUUGCGCCCGAGGAUGCAAGCCGAGGGCACGCCUGCAUGGGUGCAAUGCGAUACGUCGCUCCUUUCACAAGCUUGGGAUCUCCAUUGAGGGUCCCCGGCCCCAUUUUGGAUGCGAUGGGUGGCUCCCCAUGCUACGGCAUGGCGUGUCGAAGCGUGGGUUGUCGGCUGGUUGUAUGACAUGGAAAGAGGUGGACGCCCGCGAGCAUUGUGGCGAUGGCCAAUAGCACCUGUCGUUGCGUCCCGAUGACCCUCAAAAAAUCCAACUCCAUGCUCCUUGGUGUGGAUUCGUCGCCCCAUGUCAGGUGAGGCCACCCGCCGAGUUUAAGCAUAUAAAUAAGCGGAGGAGAAGGAACU